GGAGUUAAGAGGGUGUGGAGGAGCAGUGGCAACGAGGCCACUCUUCCCAAAAUUUCUGAAGCUGAUCAAAUUUCCUGGGAUAUAAUCCUAAAAAGAUUUCAGCAUCUAACUAUGCAAAGAAACUCAUGUGGGCAAGUGUCAGUACAGAGAUGAUAGCACCUACAGGCCUGUCUGAUAGAGAGACACCCUCUCUUUAGGCUUGGGCAGAUGUGGGUUACCCAAGCUAACCUAGCAGUGAGAUCUUGGUGAAGCAUUUCAUACUGAAACAAAACAAGAACCCCACCAUUACCACUACCAAAACAAAACAAACAAACAAAAAAGCAACAACAAAAACAGAAAAACAAAAAACAAACAAACAAAAAACCACCAACAACAUCAAAGAAGUAGUUUUGUAAACCAAAUUACUGAAAAUGGAGUGGGCAGUUAGGAGUCUUUAAUUAUCUCAUUGACUACACUGGGACAAUUAAUUUUGCACUCCCUGAACACAUGUGAGAACACCUUUUGUCCUCAAGAGGCAAAGCAGAAGCAAGUGCUAAGGAGCUGCAAGUGCCCUGGGGUGGGGUCUGGUCCGCCUGCCUGGAGCUUCUUGGGGCAGAGGAGUUGGAGUGUGCACUGAGCUGGCCUGUUCAGCAGCCUCCUAGCAUUAAGAUAGGGUCUCCAAGAGCAAGAGCUCGGGUGCUUUGCUUCACACCAGUUGCACGUGGUUGUUCUGCCACCAAGAUGGAGAACUGCAGCUUUCCCCCAGCAUAUUCACAUUGCAGUAGACAGCACAAUUCUGUACUUACAGAUCUUAACAGUGAAAUGUCUCAGGAUCUUUACAAUUUUCUGCAGAACUGUUUCAAGCUCUCAGCAAGGCACAGUGUUCAUCGAGGCAGAACGGAGCCGUAUGGAAGGUCUAUGCAGCUGGGAGAUAAUGGAACUAUUUUCCCAGCUGGGACUACAAGCCUUUUAUCCACUGAGCAUUGCGUGUCUCUUCACUGGUAUUAACCGUGAAAUACACUGCUUUCCUGCUGCACUCGUGCUAGGACCCACACAAUUAGUGCUUGAAGCAGAUAAACAGCUACUAUAGUUCAUGCAUAUUCCUAUCUGGAAAUCUUAAACGUAUAAAAAUUAGCUCUGCACUGAUCAUCCUUCAAGCAAGCUGAGAGAGUGAAAGCACAGCUGUCGUACUAGUAGCAUAAAAGAUUAAAUGUUCUCUUGCUAUUCUUUUUGUACAAAUAUGAGCUCCUGUCAGGUAAUCAGAAAACCUCUCUCCCUGAUAACUGGGUCACUACCCAGUAUUGUGUUUAAAAUAGGAAUGGAAAUAAUUUUGUUUAGUGCUGGGUCCCACAAUUGCUUCUUGAGCUCCAUAGGAGGAAGCCCAUAGGAUGCGAGCUAGCUGACAGUCACUGCAUCCCAGCACUGACUGUCCUCCCAGAACGUUUUACUACCCCAUCAUAUUUUGCAUAUUCAAAAAAAAAAAAAAAAAAGGAGUUGUUUGAAGUAGUACAGACAUAAAUCCUGAUUACACACAAACUUCAAACCUUCUUAGAUUCCCAUUUUUCCUCUUGAGACUGUUUCAGCAGAGAUCAAAUGCAAAGCUCAGACAGGGGAAUGCCUUUCUGUUAGUAAGCAAAAGUUAUUUGUAUUCACAGGGGAAGGAAGUGGAAAGAGCAGUUUUCAGAAUGUUUCUGCCAAGAAAAGUGCAAUUGUAUCACAGGCGUUGUUUCACCACGUUUUAAUGUAAUCUUGGUGUAAAUCCAUUAGUUUGUAAUGGGAUUAAUUGCAUGCCUGUCUGAGCAAUGGCAAGUAGAGAGGAAGUGGAACGUAGGUGGCAAAAACCCACAGUGGCACACGGACAAUUCAUUGCUUCGUUGCUUGGGUGCAAUUCGUCCCACCUACACCUGGGUGCUCUCCCCUCAACCACCAUGCUAGUCAUUUCAGGCUGCUCCUUCCUUCCCAUCAGUGUAAUCUGGAUGUGUUGAGGUGCUGUGGCUCAUUGCCCCAUGGCUGAGCUGCUGUACUUGUCAGCCCAUGCAAAAGCAUUGCUGCGUUGCAGUCAGGUUGCUCUUACUGGAGGUGGCUGUGGAGACAAGGCAGCUUAGAGGACAGAUAAAAUUAUGGUAGAUGUAGGAGAGAAGGUGAAGACGUUAUCCCUUCUAAAAGAAGAGGGUUAGGAAAAGUUUUUGUUUGAAGAGGAGGAUGGUUUGGAGGAGGAUUUGCAUCUGAGUUAAGAGAGCUGGAUCCAACCCAACCUCUGUGGAGGAAUUUCCCCAUGACCUAGGAAGUGCCUCAGCUGUUCUAGUCUUUUUUUUCUUUUUUUUUUUUUUGCUUGUAAGAUGGAGGUGGCAGGACACAACAGGAACUGGUGGGAUGUGUGUCCAAGUGCAGGGCAUCCUACACUGUGGGGAUGUUACGGUAUGUAUCCCCCUCCAGAAUCAGGGCUGACAUAGCUGUCCUGAUUAACAUAAACAAUUUUACACUUCCAUUGCAUGAGCAUCUCAAAUAAGCUUUACUGACAAUUAAUUAAGCCUUGCAGCACCUUCCAAAGUAGACAGACAUUAUAAUUAGUCCUAUUUUUAAUUAGGAAUAAAAUUUGAAAUGGAAUUUUAGGUAUUUCCUCA
rnacentral:lncRNA from 1 species